CGCGAAUAGCUCAUUACAACAGCUAUAAUUCACUUGAUCUUGACACAAUCCUACUUGGAUAACUGUGGUAUUCCUAGAGCUAAUACAUGCACCAAAGCUCUGACCUUGCAGAAGGGAAGAGUGCAUUUAUUAUUUGAAAACCAAGCGGCUUCGGUCGUUUUUUGUUGACUCAGAAUAACUAAGCUGAUCGCAUGGUCUUGUACCGGCGACGUGUCUUUCAAGUAUCUGCCUUAUCAACUUUCGAUGGUAGUGUAUUUGACUACCAUGGUGGUGACGGGUAACGGAGGAUAAGGGUUCGACUCCGGAGAAGGGGCCUGAGAAAUGGCCACUACGUCUAAGGAUGGCAGCAGGCGCGAAAAUUACCCACUCUCAGCACGAGGAGGUAGUGACGAAAAAUAACGAGACCGUUCUCUUAUGAGGCCGGUCAUCGGAAUGGGUACAAUUUAAACCCUUUAACGAGUAUCUAUGAGAGGGCAAGUCUGGUGCCAGCAGCCGCGGUAAUUCCAGCU
rnacentral:rRNA from 1 species